rnacentral:rRNA from 1 species
AUUGAACGUUGGCGGCAGGCCUUAGACAUGCAAGUCGAACGGUAACAGCAGAGCUUGCUCUGGCUGACGAGUGGCGGACGGGUGAGUAACGCGUAGGAAUCUACCCAGUAGCGGGGGAUAGCCCGGGGAAACCCGGAAUAAUACCGCAUACGCCCCACGGGGGAAAGAGGGCCUCUUCUUGAAAGCUCUCACUAUUGGAGGAGCCUGCGUUGGAUUAGCUAGUUGGUGGGGUAAAGGCCUACCAAGGCGACGAUCCAUAGCUGGUCUGAGAGGACGAUCAGCCACACUGGAACUGAGACACGGUCCAG